rnacentral:ncRNA from 1 species
UAAGUAGAUUUUUUAGUUUUUGAAGUUUACAUUUUAAUUUUCAUAAAAUCUUUGUUAUUAAAAUUUUUUAAUUCACUUAUUAAAAUUUUAAUUCCCAAAAGGCCCAUGUUUAUGGAAUAAGCAUUGGUUAACUCUAUGUGAGCAGUUGUGAUAAGAUAAAGGAUGCAAGUGUUAUCCGGAAUGAUUGGGCGUAAAGCGUCUGUAGGUGACUUUUUAAGUUUGCUGUCAAAUCCCAGGGCUCAACCUUGGACAGGUGGUGAAAACUACCAAGUUGGAGUACGGUAGGGGUAGAGGAAAUUUCCGGUGGAGCGGUGAAAUGCGUAGAGAUCGAAAAGAACACCAAUGGCGAAAGCACUCUGUUGGGCCGACACUGACAAUGAGAGACAAAAGCUAGGGGAACGAAUGGGAUUAGAUACCCCAGUAGUCCUAGCCGUAAACGAUGGAUACUAGGCGCUAUGUGUAUCAACCCGUGCAAUGUUGUAGCUAACGCGUUAAGUAUCCCGCUUGGGGAGAACGUUCACAAGAAUGAAACUCAAAGGAAUUGAUGGGGGGCCGCACAAGCGUUGGAGCAUGUUGUUUUAAUUCGAUGCAAAGCAAAGAACUUUACCCUGGCUUGAUAUGUUGUGAAUCCUCUUGAAAAAAAGGGGUGCCUUCGGGGACCUAGACACAGGUGGUGCAUGACUAUCAUCAGCUCGUGCCAUAAGGUGUUGGGUUAAGUUCGCAACGAGCGCAACCCUCAUGUUUAGUUGCCAACAUUGAGUUUAGAACCCUGAGCAGACUGUCAGUGAUAAGCCGGAGGAAGGUGAGGAUGACAUCAAGUCAUCAUGCCCCUUAUGACACGUGCUACACUGGAUGUGACAAAGGAUCAUGAUCCCGCAAGGGUGAACUAGCUCCAAAAACUCGUCCUUAGUUCGGAUUAUAGACUGCAACUCACCUGCAUGAAGCCGAAAUCGCUAGUAAUCGCCAGUCAGUCAUACGGCGACGAAUUCAUUCCCGAGGCCUUGUACACACCGCCCGUCAUACUAUGGGAGCUGACCAUGCCAGAAGUCGUUACCUUAACCGCAAGGAGGGGGAUGCCAAAGGCAAGGUUAGUGACUGAAGUGAAGUCGUAAUAAGAUAGUCGUACUGAAAGGUGUGGUUGGAUCACUUCCUUU